rnacentral:rRNA from 1 species
CAGUAGCCGCGGUAAUACGUAGGGUGCGAGCGUUAAUCGGAAUUAUUGGGCGUAAAGGGCGCGUAGGCGGUUUGGCAAGUUUGGUGUGAAAUCUUCGGGCUCAACUCGAAGUCUGCAUCGAAAACUGCCGGGCUUGAGUAUGGGAGAGGUGAGUGGAAUUUCCGGUGUAGCGGUGAAAUGCGUAGAUAUCGGAAGGAACACCUGUGGCGAAAGCGGCUCACUGGACAAUAACUGACGCUGAUGCACGAAAGCUAGGGGAGCAAACAGGAUUAGAUACCCCAGUAGUCCCUGUCUCUUAUAC